rnacentral:lncRNA from 1 species
GAGCUAGGAUUACCCCCUUGGGGCUCUUUGAGGGAUUCCAUCCGUCGAGCUUCAAGCCUGGAAAGGGAUGACCUCGAAGCCUCCAAAAAGCUUGAGGCCUAUCAAACCCCCCUUUUCUCCAAACUUUUGAAGGAACAAUUUUUGUUCAACAUCGGCCUGAGUCCUCUUAACCCUGCCGGUACCAUUUUUUUUUUCUUUUUUUUUUACUGCUUCCCCUUUCUCUUAUUCCAUCUCUGAGCUGUGUUGAUCUUCUUUUAUUGCAGACAUAGAUAC